GCAGUGGGGAAUAUUGGACAAUGGGGGCAACCCUGAUCCAGCCAUGCCGCGUGUGUGAAGAAGGCCUUCGGGUUGUAAAGCACUUUCAGCUGUGAGGAAAGGCGAGUGGUUAAUACCCGCUUGCUGUGACGUUAACAGCAGAAGAAGGACCGGCUAACUCCGUGCCAGCAGCCGCGGUAAUACGGAGGGUCCGAGCGUUAAUCGGAAUUACUGGGCGUAAAGCGCGCGUAGGUGGUUCAGUCAGUCAGAUGUGAAAGCCCCGGGCUCAACCUGGGAACUGCACCUGAUACUGCUGAGCUAGAGUACGGUAGAGGGUAGUGGAAUUUCCGGUGUAGCGGUGAAAUGCGUAGAGAUCGGAAGGAACACCAGUGGCGAAGGCGACUACCUGGACCGAUACUGACACUGAGGUGCGAAAGCGUGGGUAGCAAACAGGAUUAGAUACCCUGGUAGUCCACGCCGUAAACGAUGUCAACUAGCCGUUG
rnacentral:rRNA from 1 species